rnacentral:rRNA from 1 species
CCUACGGGUGGCACCAGUGGGGAAUAUUGCACAAUGGGCGCAAGCCUGAUGCAACCAUGCCGCGUGUAUGAAGAAGGCCUUCGGGUUGUAAAGUACUUUCAGUCGGGAGGAAGGUGGUGAGCUUAAUACGCUCAUCAAUUGACGUUACCGACAGAAGAAGCACCGGCUAACUCCGUGCCAGCAGCCGCGGUAAUACGGAGGGUGCAAGCGUUAAUCGGAAUUACUGGGCGUAAAGCGCACGCAGGCGGUUGAUUGAGUCAGAUGUGAAAUCCCCGGGCUUAACCCGGGAACUGCAUUCGAAACUGGCAGGCUAGAGUCUUGUAGAGGGGGGUAGAAUUCCAGGUGUAGCGGUGAAAUGCGUAGAGAUCUGGAGGAAUACCGGUGGCGAAGGCGGCCCCCUGGACAAAGACUGACGCUCAGGUGCGAAAGCGUGGGGAGCAAACAGGAUUAGAUACCCCGGUAGUC